GUAGGUCUGGUGGCUGUUUUGAGGAAGGAAUUUGGUGGGUUUGUGCACCGACGAGAAUUGUGCUGCACUAGAGAGGCUAGCAAUGGUGGAAGGUGAAAGUGCAUCUAUACCAUGGACUCACAUUAGUCAUGAAGAACUCACAUACUUGUUGCGAAAGUUAUUAUUAGUAAUCGAAACAAAGUGCUAAACGGAUAAUCCGAGGGGAAGGGUUGGUAGGUGUAAA
rnacentral:lncRNA from 1 species